UACGUAGGGUGCGAGCGUUAAUCGGAAUUACUGGGCGUAAAGCGUGCGCAGGCGGUUUUGUAAGUCUGACGUGAAAUCCCCGGGCUUAACCUGGGAAUUGCGUUGGAGACUGCAAGGCUGGAGUCUGGCAGAGGGGGGUAGAAUUCCACGUGUAGCAGUGAAAUGCGUAGAGAUGUGGAGGAAUACCGAUGGCGAAGGCAGCCCCCUGGGCCAAUACUGACGCUCAUGCACGAAAGCGUGGGGAGCAAACAGG
rnacentral:rRNA from 1 species